rnacentral:rRNA from 1 species
AGCAGCUGCAGUAAUUCCAGCUCCAAUAGUGUAUAUUAAAGUUGUUGUAGUUAAAAAGCUCGUAGUUAAAUUUCGAGGUUCUACCAUCGGUCGGGCUACCAAGUCUGUACUAGUGUGUAGAAUUUCUACCUUCUGGGGAACCAUCAUGUUAUUAAUUUAGCAUGGUGGGAAACCAGGACCUUUACCUUGAAAAAUUAGAGUGUUCAAAGCAGGCUUAUGUCUGAAUACAUUAGCAUGGAAUAAUAGAAUAGGACGGUGGUCCAGUUUUGUUGGUUUCUGAAUCACCGUAAUGAUUAAUAGGGAUAGUUGGGAGCAUUAGUAUUUAAUUGUCAGAGGUGAAAUUCUUGGAUUUAUUGAAGACUAACUUCUGUGAAAGCAUUUGCCAAGGAUGUUUU